rnacentral:rRNA from 1 species
AGCGAACGCUGGCGGCAGGCUUAACACAUGCAAGUCGAGCGGGCCCUUCGGGGUCAGCGGCGGACGGGUGAGUAACGCGUGGGAACGUGCCUUUCGGUUCGGAAUAACCCUGGGAAACUAGGGCUAAUACCGGAUACGCCCUUAUGGGGAAAGGUUUACUGCCGGAAGAUCGGCCCGCGUCUGAUUAGCUAGUUGGUGGGGUAACGGCCUACCAAGGCGACGAUCAGUAGCUGGUCUGAGAGGAUGAUCAGCCACACUGGGACUGAGACACGGCCCAGACUCCUACGGGAGGCAGCAGUGGGGAAUAUUGGACAAUGGGCGCAAGCCUGAUCCAGCCAUGCCGCGUGAGUGAUGAAGGCCUUAGGGUUGUAAAGCUCUUUUAUCCGGGACGAUAAUGACGGUACCGGAGGAAUAAGCCCCGGCUAACUUCGUGCCAGCAGCCGCCGUAAUAC